rnacentral:rRNA from 1 species
GAAAUUUAACGGAUUUGGCGGCAAGAUAGCCCCUUAGAGGAACCUGCCCUAUAAACGAUGAACCACGAAGAGACGUUACUUUUUUUUGAAAUCAGUUUGUAUAUCGCUGUUGUCAGUUAGAUUCCGAAGAAUAUUUUCAUUUAUGAAAAGGUCAUUGACUUCAAGUAAAGGUGCAGCUUAUAGAAAAGAAAGAGGUGGGUUACAUUUAAAAGAAUAAUACGGAUAAGAUGAAUGAAGAAAUCUUUGAAGGUGGAUUUAACUGUAAGAUUUAAUAAAAUUUGGUGAGAGCUCUAUCUUGUGUACACACCGCCCGUC